rnacentral:pre_miRNA from 1 species
UGUAAACAUCCUACACUCAGCUGUAAUCAUUUGCAGCAGAGGCUGAGAGAAGGUUGUUUACUUG